ensembl:lncRNA
CGGGAAGAGAUGCACCCUGUUUGGCCAGGGGUGUUUUUAAAUUAUAUUAUACUAACUUCAGGCCUUAUUAUCAUGUCAUAUAUAACUGUGAUGUUCUGUAUGUAACGGGUUGAGAAUCCGUAAUGUUCAGUUUGGCUCAUUGGAAGUAGAUAAUUUUUAAUGUUUUCGUAUAUUUUAAAUGGUAAGAUACGCCCACUGGCAUUAAACCGUGGCUUGACAUUGAGUACACCUGUGCGGCGCAAUCAUGAAGGUGCGUCAGGUUUUAGUGGCGUGAUUAAAAAGCCUGUGGAAGUGGGGCACUGUCAUUCUUCUCUGUGCUGUGUAGUAACAGGCUGCUCAUUUUGAUUUGCGUUGCCCUCUCUGGAGUGUGUGUGUGAAGUGGCGAGCGCAGGUAGCAUCAAGUUCACUAUAGCUUAAGAAAUUCCUACGAGGUGCGGCCCAAGAGCGCUAGCUGCUGUUUUGUUUCGUUUUGUUAUAUUUACUUGUGUCACUGUUUUAUUGUACUGUUCGCACGACUGACGGCAGGGACGUCGCGGUUUUGAACCGCUGUAUCCAUUGAGCUCUUUAACGAGCCUUGCUCGUUAUGAAUUAUUGAGAUAUUAGACAGGCGUGUUCCAUGGGCUGUUAUAUCAAACUAACACGCUGGUAGCUGGGUCAGUUUAAAGUAGCUUCAACGGUCUUAAAAUAGUAGUAAAUGUCGUUUUAGUUGUUUGUGUGUAUACUACUUUUGUUUUCUUUUCUUCGUAAUUACCCAUUUAUUUGCCAGUGUAUAUCCACAUUGAUUAUUUGAACUGUGAUAUUGAAGCUUAACAGAAGUGGGAGGGUAUUUGUUUUCUUUUGGUAUUGUUUCCUUUUUUUUAUUUUUUUUGGUGAUCACUUGUCUUAACCUUUGUUCACUGAUUUGCUGUGUGGUUUGUCCCUCUCUGUUAAAGUGGGUUUAUUAUGGUCUCUUAUUAAUUGUGGGUAUCUAAUUGGUAAUUUGUAUGAGAUCUAUUUUUAGGAUGUUUUAAAUGAAUGAUUUUCCUUGUGCGGAAUAAAUUUUUGUAUACUUUUUGGAAAGUCACGUCUCUGUCUUUGAUGCAAAUCGAACCAGCAAGGGUCCUUUUGUUGUAAUUCUUUUUGGUUAAAUUCUCUUGUUGUGGUAUUUUUAUUUAUUUUUUUUAUUAUUUACUUUCCUAGGUGGAGCAGUAACCUAGGUGGCGUAGUCGGGUUUUUUUAUAUUUAGCCAAAGGUUACAAUUUUGGCGUAGUCGGCAGGUUUUUUUCAUUUUGUAUGUGAAGCAGAGACGUGACUAUUACUUUGUUUGUGAUAUCAAUUUGUUUUUUUUUUUGUUUGCUUUUUUUCUCAAACAGCAGCUAGCGCUUUAGAAUAUUGUUUUGUAUGUCCCUUGGAUUGUCACUAUGGAGGAUGAGGUGCAGCAAUUGCGAGACCUGGUAGCCCAACUUAAGGCUGAUAAUGAACACCUGCGGCAAGAACGUUUGGAGGUUCAGGCAAGUCCGAGUGCUGCGUCCUCUGAGUUUAAUCAUAGGGGGGCGGGGUUGGACAUGGACCCGAGAUCUUCCUCCAACGGUAAUUCAGUAGUGACGGAAAGGUUGAUUUAUGUUCCUAGGGAGAGGAAAUGUCCUGUUUUUAGGGGCCGUACCGGAAUUUCUUUAGCUGAUUGGCUAGAGGAAGUAAAGGCCAGUAUGCGUGUUCGCCACUUAUCUAUUUUUGAUAAAGCACACUUUCUGUAUGACCAUUUAGAGGGGGAAGCUAGGGAAGAAAUAAAAUUUAGGCCUAGCGAAGACCGGGACAACCCAGAUAAAGUUAUUAAAAUACUUACUGAGCUGUAUGGCUGCCCGGAUUCAUAUAUUGUUUUGCAGGAGAAUUUCUUCUCUCGACGACAACUAGAGGGGGAGACGCUCCAGGAAUUUUCACAUGCCCUUCUUGGCUUAAUGUCAAAAGUAAUUAAAAAUGCUCCAAAUGGUAUGCCCAAUUCUGAUGUUCUGUUGCGUGACCAAUUUGUAGAGUAUGUGCUGGAUUCUGC